CAUUGCUUUCUAUAUAUAUACCUAUAUACUCGAUUUCCCCAGAAAUCAAAUUUAAAUGAAAAAUAUAUUGAAAUGAAAUGAAAUAUGAUGUGAUUGCCAUGCAUAGAAUGUUAUGGAUAUUAUGAACUGUCGUAUGAUGCAUAUAUGUAUGAUGGUGCUGUGGACGCACAGGUAAGUAUUUAAUUACUGUUAUGUUGAGGAUGAUGAUAUAUUGAGCUCAUAUCCUGCACCAUGGUUUAGUGCUUAUAGUAUUCACCGCAUCGCACGCUCGCCUUGGAUCCAAGUAGAUGCUGGUCGUACAGUCCACGCGGAGUGGGUACGACGGGCCAGUCGUAGAAUGUUAGUGAGAUUAUGACUGGUGGGUGACCUUAGGUUAUUGUAUACAGAUGAUUGAUGAGAGAAGCACUUGAGCGAAUAUUACCAUGAGUCGUUCAGACUGCAUUAGGUGGUUCCGACUUAUGUGCAGAAGGCCGGACAGGUCACGCGGAGUGACUCCGGCAGAGAGUGAGAUUGAUAGAUGUUGAGCUCUAGGUUCAAUCGUUCAGGACUAUUAGAGGGCCUCCGAUUGAUUAUUUCUUUUACCUGAUUUAUAUUAUGUCAAUGCAUUCAUACUAAACUGCUGAAUUUGGCAUGGUACAUUCUUUAUUGAAUCUGCUAUAAGAUUGUUGAUCGAGACAGUUGAGAUAUAUAUGCUAUAUACUAUUUUUCUGGGAAAGUAUACAGGUUUUCCAAAAAGGGGUUAUAAAUGUGGAUUUAUGAAAUGUUUUGGAAAAGCUUUAUUUUUCGCCCACUCACGUUUUCUGUUUUUCGCCCCUCCAGGUUCUAGUUGAUAGUUGAGGCGUUGGUGGCCUACGAGGACUGCUUCGGCGUUCUGACAGACUAAAUAAAUGUAGGAUUCACCCGAGGGUGUUGUAAAAUAGUUAUGGUCCUACUUGACUGCACCUAGACGCUUAUGCUCUGUUUAUGUGUGUUUAGUACACUCUUAUGCACAUAGAAUGCUAGGUUGUAAAUAACUGCAAUUAGUGGUUUUCGUUGACUCGUAUUUUAUUAUUAAAUCGUUUCCGCUUGCGUUAUGGUUACGUCACACUCACGUGACGGCCAGCACGUUCUAGUCUUCGGGUUAGGGUGUGUCAGUUUGGUAUCAGAGCAUAGGUUGCAGUCCUGUAUAACUAGUGAUUUUACUUAUUAAUUUUUGGAUGUUUUCUGUCAGAAUUAUGCCGCCUCGUAGAGAUCCUCGCCGUGCUGCUGAGCCUAAUUUCCCCGAUAUAACUCAGCUAGGGGCAUCAAUGGCUCAAGCUUUUCAGGCUAAUAUCCGUCCUCCUCAGAGAACACCUGUAGAGACGAUGUAUAAUCUGAAAUUGGAAACCUUUGAGGGAAAUGAAGGUUAUGAAGGGGCAGAAAAGUGGUUGGAUCGGAUUGAGCAGACCUUUCAAGUGAUGCAAAGUCAAGGAAACCUGCCAGCUAAUAGAUGGGUGGAGACCACCACCUGGUUUUUGGGCCGUGAGCCAGCGGCGUGGUGGAUAAAUCAGUCGAGGCACAUGGCACCUGAAAGGACAGCCGAAUGGGAGGUAUUUAAGGAAAAUUUUAUGAAGAGAUUUGUUCCUCCGGAAUAUAUAGAUCGCAAGAAACAGGAAUUCACCAGUCUGAAGCAGAGAAAUAUGUCCGCACAUGAGUACUACAGGAAGUUUACUGAUUUAUCCCGUUAUGAUUCUGAUUUAGCGGGUAAUCAAGCAGAAAUGCUUCGUCGUUUCAAGUUAGGAUCUAAGAAGAAGUACAGAACGUUUGCCAAUGCACUUCCCUGUGCCGAUUAUCAUGAGUAUUUUGAGAUUCUGGUCCGGAUGGAAGACUCUGAUAAUCUUCCGGACAGUGAGGAUGAAGAGGAUAAGGGUAAUGGUCAGAAGAAAAAUGAGAAAGGUAAAGGUGUUUCCAUUCCAGGACCUCGUCAGAUGCAGAAUUUUAAGAAGAGUGGAAUGAGUUCUAGUUCUUCCAGUGGUGGAUUUAGUGCCACAGGUCCGAGGAGAGGAGGUGGUAGGUUUGGUAAUGGACCUAGAUUUUCUGGUCAGAGAGGCUUUGGUGGUACUGGUAGUUCGGGUUCUCCGUUAUGUCGCCGUUGUAAUUUCCGACAUUAUGGGGAAUGUAGGAGAAUCAGUGGUGCAUGCUUUACAUGUGGUCAGACAGGACAUAGAGCUAUGAAUUGUCCCCAGAAUCAGCAGAGGCCCCAGCAGCCUGUUAGGCCAACACCAGCACCGACUCAACAGAACUUUAAUUCAGGCAGUUAUGGCCAGGUUGGUCGUGGUGGUGCUUAUCAUUAUCAGGGUGAUGCUACUCCAUAUGCUCCAGGACAGUAUCACUAUUCCCAGGAUCCUUAUUCUCAGAGUGGAUAUUCUCAGGAUCAGGGAGGUUAUACUUCAUAUCCGUCUAUGCCAGCUAGCGGAUCUCAGUGGUAUCAGGGGGGUCAGCCCCAACAGAGCGGAGUUGCUGCUAGCAGUGCAGGGUCGUUUAGGCCGCCUGCCCAGACAGGUCAAGGAAGUAUUCAUCAGGGACGAGGUAAUCAGAGUGGCAGAUGUCGUGGAGGACGACAGCCAGCUCAGGGACGUGUUAACCACAUAUCGCUGCAAGAUGCUCAGAACCAUCCAGACUUGAUUAUGGGUACGUUGAAUGUUCUUGGUCAUUUUGCUAGAGUCUUGAUUGAUUGUGGUGCUACACACUCUGUGAUUUCUCAUACAUUUGCUCAAAUGACACAACCUCAUCCUUCACCUCUAGGGUUUGAUUUAGAGUUUGCUAUGCCUAGAGGGGAUAAAUGUUAUGUUGAUAGUUUUUACUCUGGGUGUCCAGUGAUGGUAGAUAAUGUCAUUAUGCCUGCUAAUCUUAUCCCGUUAGACAUCGUGGAUUUUGAUGUGAUUUUAGGGGCGGAUUGGUUGCAUUAUAAUCGCGCCCAUAUAGAUUGUUACGGGAAAUCAGUUACUUUUCUUCGUCCUGGACUACCUGAGGUUACAUUUGUGGGUGAAAGAAAUGGGGUGAGGCAUGGUGUUAUUUCAGCCAUAAGGGCAAAGAAGUUGUUAUCCAAGGGUUGUCAGGGAUACUUGGCACAUGUGGUGUUAAAUGAUGUUGAUUCCGGUAGUGUGGAGGAAGUCGGAGUAGUCAGACACUAUCCUGAUGUAUUUCCAGAUGAUUUACCUGGGUUGCCUCCAGAUAGAGAUGUGGAAUUUUCGAUUGAUUUACUUCCAGGUACGAACCCUAUCUCUUUGACUCCUUAUAGAAUGGCACCAUCGGAAUUAAGAGAGUUGAAAAUUCAAUUGCAAGAGUUAAUUGAUAAAGGUUUCAUUCAGCCUAGUUCUUCACCGUGGGGAGCUCCGGUGUUGUUUGUAAGAAAGAAAGAUGGAACUUUGAGAUUGUGCAUUGAUUACAGGCAAUUGAAUCGGGUGACGAUUAAAAACCGUUAUCCCUUGCCUCGUAUAGAUGAUUUGUUUGAUCAGCUCAAAGGUGCCUGUGUGUUUUCUAAGAUCGAUUUGAGGUCUGGGUAUUAUCAAUUAAAGAUUAAAGAUGAGGAUGUUCAUAAAACAGCUUUCAGGACUCGUUAUGGGCAUUAUGAGUUUUUGGUGAUGCCAUUUGGAUUAACGAACGCUCCUGCAGCUUUCAUGAGAUUGAUGAAUGAAGUAUUCCAGGAAUAUCUUGACAAGUUUGUUAUUGUUUUUAUUGAUGACAUCCUGGUAUAUUCUAAGUCGAAAUCAGACCAUAUUCGACAUCUUAACUUGGUGUUAAGGAAAUUGAGGGAACACCGAUUAUAUGCCAAAUUUAGUAAAUGUGAAUUUUGGCUGGAUCAAGUGGCAUUUUUGGGACAUGUGGUAUCAGCUCAGGGAAUUCAAGUGGAUCCUCAAAAGAUAGCAGCAGUGGAAAAUUGGGAACAACCUCGAACGGUCACUGAGGUGCGGAGUUUUCUUGGUUUGGCAGGUUAUUAUAGACGGUUUGUUCAAGACUUUUCUAUGAUUGCCUUGCCAUUAACGAAGUUAACCAGGAAGGAUGUUAAGUUUGAAUGGGAUGAAAGUUGUGAGCAAAGUUUCCAGCAGUUGAAGUAUUGCCUUACUCAUGCACCUGUGUUAGUACUUCCUGAUGAUGAUGGUAACUUCGAGAUCUAUAGUGAUGCUUCUUUGAAUGGUUUGGGUUGUGUUUUGAUGCAGCAUAGUAGAGUGAUUGCCUAUGCUUCUAGGCAGUUGAAGACUCAUGAAAGAAACUAUCCGACUCACGAUCUUGAGUUAGCAGCUAUUGUGUUUGCUUUGAAGAUCUGGAGACAUUAUCUCUAUGGCGAGAAAUGUAAGAUCUUUACAGAUCAUAAAAGCCUUAAGUACCUUUUCACUUAGCAUGAUCUUAAUCUUCGUCAGAGAAGAUGGUUGGAAUUGUUAAGUGAUUAUGAUUGCACGAUUGAGUACCAUCCGGGUCGUGCAAAUGUGGUAGCUGAUGCUCUGAGUAGAAAACCUCAAGGGCGACUUAAUGCUUUGUAUGCCAGUCGUGUUUCUCUUCUUGCAGAGUUGAGAUCUACUGGAGUAGAGUUAGAAUUGGAAGAGCAAAGUGAAGCUUUUCUUGCCAAUUUUCAAGUCAAGCCAAUUUUAAUUGAUCGGGUGCUUACAGCUCAAUCGUUGGAUGAAGAAAUUCAAGAAUUGAUCAGUUUAAGAAAGGAAAGCUAAGCCCCAGGUACAUUGGACCUUAUGAGAUCACUGAGAGGAUUGGUGAAGUUGCUUACAGGUUGGAGCUACCUCCAGAGUUGUCUAAGGUACAUAAUGUGUUCCAUGUCUCGAUGCUUCGACAUUAUGUUUCAGAUCCUUCACAUGUGAUUCCUCCUCAACCAUUGGAAAUUAAUCCGGACUUGACGUACGAUGAGGAACCAGUGACUAUACUGGAUUGGAAAGAUAAAACUUUGAGGAAUAAGACCGUGAACUUGGUAAAAGUAUUGUGGAGAAACCAUUCAGCGGAAGAAGCUACAUGGGAGACAGAAGAACGGAUGAGAGAUAUGUAUCCGAGGCUAUUUUAUGAGUAUUGAGGGUUUGGUUGGUGACUGGAAUUUCGGGGACGAAAUUCUAUAAGGAGGGGAGAUUGUCACAGCCCGUCCCAGAAUUACUUAAUACCGAGGACGUGAAAUUACAGAAACGCCCUUAAACGGGAUUAAGGUGCGUAAUUUUGACAUUUGUUUUACUUUAAGAUCCUAAACUAGGGUUAGAAUUAUAUAUUUGUAUGUGUUAAUAUUAUAUGGGUUAAGGUAGGGCCUUAUACCCUAAAUCCCUCCCCAAAACCCGUUUUGUUGUCUCUCUCUCAUCUCCCUAGUCACUCUCUCUCUCUUAUUCUUCAGAAAACACUCUCUCACUCUCUCUCUUACUCUCAUUCUCUCUCAAACUCUCGGACAAACACCCAAGACCUUGAAAACUUCACAAGUUAAGGUUGAGGAAGGUAGCAUCGUGUUCGUAAGGACCAUACGAACACAUUGAUAUUGUUUUCAGGUAAGAUUUCCCACGAUUCCAUGUAGAAAACUUAAGCUCCGAGAUUGCUACUGUUCAUGAACUUAAAUUUGGUUGUGUUUUAGGUUAAACAAAGAUCACCACGAGUCUUAGGAAGUCCCAAGGAGGCUCGGAGUGCCUCAUUUGAACAAAAUGGACGUCGGGAUCGUCGGGUUCGAGUUUGGCCGAAAUUGAGGAAUUUUGGAAGGUAUGAUCUCGUAGUUUUUAGGCCUUAAAACCCUUCCAACGUGAUAAUGCUUCAUUUUGGUGUAAAAUUCGAAGAAAUUGGACGAAAAACGAAGGAGAAUAGUGGAUUUGAAAAUUUUCCAGAAACCGGCGACCGGCGACUCGCCGGAGAAGACAGGGAAUCUUCCGUCAAGUUUGACGGAAUAUUCCGACGCCGUUAGUUAACUUUAACGGAAACCGUUAGUUUUUAACGGAAUAUUCCGGGAAUAUUCCUAACGCCGUUCACUGUACCGUCAGUGUGCCUGGCACGUGGCUGCGCGUGGGCCGCGCGUAGGUCCGUGCCACGUCAGGCGCGUGGGGGCGCGUGGAGCAUCCAAAAAUUAUUUUAAAAAUAUGGGGAUGAUCCUGAGGUUGUGUAGGUCACUGUGGUAUAUUCAUAUACCCAAUUUGAGCAUCGUAUGAAGAAUUUAUUACCUAGUUGGUUUAGGUGCGUUUAAUGUGCGUUAAAUGAUUGUUUUAAGUUAUUUCACUUCUAGGUGGAACUUUUAACGAGGACGAGCACAUCCAGGGCGUCAAGGGGGUUACGACCCGGCGACAUACCAGUGAGUGGGCAUUGCUUUCUAUAUAUAUACUUAUAUACUCGAUUUCCCCAGAAAUCAAAUUUAAAUGAAAAAUAUAUUGAAAUGAAAUGAAAUAUGAUGUGAUUGCCAUGCAUAGAAUGUUAUGGAUAUUAUGAACUGUCGUAUGAUGCAUAUAUGUAUGAUGGUGCUGUGGACGCACAGGUAAGUAUUUAAUUACUGUUAUGUUGAGGAUGAUGAUAUAUUGAGCUCAUAUCCUGCACCAUGGUUUAGUGCUUAUAGUAUUCACCGCAUCGCAACGCUCGCCUUGGAUCCAAGUAGAUGCUGGUCGUACAGUCCACGCGGAGUGGGUACGACGGGCCAGUCGUAGAAUGUUUAGUGAGAUUAUGACUGGUGGGUGACCUUAGGUUAUUGUAUACAGAUGAUUGAUGAGAGAAGCACUUGAGCGAAUAUUACCAUGAGUCGUUCAGACUGCAUUAGGUGGUUCCGACUUAUGUGCAGAAGGCCGGACAGGUCACGCGGAGUGACUCCGGCAGAGAGUGAGAUUGAUAGAUGUUGAGCUCUAGGUUCAAUCGUUCAGGAC
rnacentral:lncRNA from 1 species